AGAGUUUGAUCCUGGCUCAGAAUCAACGCUGGCGGCGUGCCUCAGACAUGCAAGUCGAACGAUUAAAGCUCUCUUCGGAGAGUGCAUAGAGUGGCGCACGGGUGAGUAACACGUAAGUAAUCUACCCUCGAGUGGGGGAUAACGUCCGGAAACGGACGCUAAUACCGCAUAAUGCAGCGGCACCGCAAGGUGACAGUUGUUAAAGGAGAAAUUCGCUUGAGGAGGAGCUUGCGGCAGAUUAGCUAGUUGGUAAGGUAAUGGCUUACCAAGGCUACGAUCUGUAACCGGUCUAAGAGGACGGUCGGUCACACUGACACUGAAUAACGGGUCAGACUCCUACGGGAGGCAGCAGUCGGGAAUUUUGGGCAAUGGGGGAAACCCUGACCCAGCAACGCCGCGUGAAGGAUGAAGUAUUUCGGUAUGUAAACUUCGAAAGAAUAGGAAGAAUCAAUGACGGUACUAUUUAUAAGGUCCGGCUAACUACGUGCCAGCAGCCGCGGUAAUACGUAGGGACCAAGCGUUGUUCGGAUUUACUGGGCGUAAAGGGCGCGUAGGCGGCGCUGUAAGUCACUUGUGAAAUCUCCGGGCUUAACUCGGAACGGCCAAGUGAUACUGCAGUGCUAGAGUGCAGAAGGGGCAAUCGGAAUUCUUGGUGUAGCGGUGAAAUGCGUAGAUAUCAAGAGGAACACCUGAGGUGAAGACGGGUUGCUGGGCUGACACUGACGCUGAGGCGCGAAAGCCAGGGGAGCAAACGGGAUUAGAUACCCCGGUAGUCCUGGCCCUAAACGAUGAAUACUUGG
rnacentral:rRNA from 1 species